rnacentral:rRNA from 1 species
GACGAACGCUGGCGGCGUGCUUAACACAUGCAAGUCGAACGGAAAGGCCCUGCUUUUGUGGGGUGCUCGAGUGCCGAACGGGUGAGUAACACGUGAGUAACCUGCCCUUGACUUUGGGAUAACUUCAGGAAACUGGGGCUAAUACCGGAUCGGAGCCCCUCCUGCAUGGUGGGGGUUGGAAAGUUUCGGCGGGUUGGGAUGGACUCGCGGCUUAUCAGCUUGUUGGUGGGGUGGGGGCUUACCAAGGAUUUGACGGGUACCCGGCACGGGAGGGUGACCGGCCACAUUGGGACUGGGGGACGCACCAGACUCCUACGGUAGGCAGCAGUGGGAAAUAUUGCACAAUGAGCGGGAGCCUGAUGCAGAGGCGCCGCGUUCGGGAUGACGGCCUGCGGGGUGUAAACCGCUUUCGCCUGUUACGAAGCGGGAGUGACGGUAAUGGGUAAAGAAGCACCGGCUAACUACGUG